GAAAAAUUAGUCAUUUUUCAAAAGUAGCCAAGUAAGAUAUAUAGCCUUAUUCUACCUGUUGUUUAAUAUAUUUGACAUGUGAUGUUGACUGUAUUAGAUUUAGAUAAUUAUUUUUUCAGUCAAGUAAGUUGUUACUAUAAAUAUCAUAAAUUAUGUUAAUAUUUUUGUCUUGGAUAUACUUUUUCAAUUUCUCAUAAACCUUUUACAUUCUGUCAUCUUUGUUUAUUCUUCUUUUCUUCUUUAUUUUCUCCAUCCCUAAUUCUUUUCUUUUUACCAUUAAAUAUUAUUCAUCAAUG
rnacentral:lncRNA from 1 species